UACGUAGGUGGCAAGCGUUAUCCGGAUUUACUGGGUGUAAAGGGCGUGUAGGCGGGGACGCAAGUCAGAUGUGAAAACCACGGGCUCAACCUGUGGCCUGCAUUUGAAACUGUGUUUCUUGAGUACUGGAGAGGCAAUCGGAAUUCCGUGUGUAGCGGUGAAAUGCGUAGAUAUACGGAGGAACACCAGUGGCGAAGGCGACUUUCUGGACUGUACCUGACGCUGAGGCGCGAAAGCGUGGGUGGCGAACGGG
rnacentral:rRNA from 1 species